GCAUUCAGCCUUUCUGGACGGUACAUCAGCCAGUGUUUUCUCUUGCCAGAGAAAGUGCGACUUUUAGCAACAUCUGCAGUAGUUCAUGUAUUUUUAACAUGUGCUAUGACAAGAUGUAAUGCAGAAUAAAAUUAUGAGCCUUAAUGUGAACUCCUUUUUCCCCAGCAGACUACACAGUAGAUUUUCUUGGUCAGUGCUGCUUUACAGAACCAAAGAUGAACUGUCCACUACCGGACACCAAUGUUUGGACAUAGUUAAGGAACAACUGCAGAGGCACAGAAUGGGAUGGUAUUUGGACUGAACUACACAGUAGACUUUCUUGGUCAGUGCUGCUUUACAGAACCAAAGAUAAACUGUCCACUACCGGACACCAAUGUUUGGACAUAGUUAAGGAACAACUGCAGAGGCACAGAAUGGGAUGAUAUUUGGACUCAGUGAGUGGAGGAGGUUGGUAUUGGUGGGACAGUUGUAGAAAUUCUAAUCUAGUUCUUUGUUGUUAUCAUUGUGCCUUUCUGCUGGCUACAGUAACUUGAAGAAAAAUUCACUCUGUUAAUAAAAAAUGUUAAUAAAUGUCAGAGAAAUUAUACAGAACACCAGAAGCAGGCUGCACUCUGUGACAUAUUAAUGAAAAAAAAUUAGAUGGUUGCAAGUUGUAUUGUUUUAAGGCAAAAUUAGCCUGUGUGUUUUGACAUGGUUAGAGCUUUUAGCAAACAAAAUGUGUCAUUAAGACAUUGGAGCCACUGUUUUGACCUGUGUGUGAACUGUUAAGAGAAUGUGUUGUUUCAUUCGACGGCUGCAUCAAAGCCAGAAAUUUUAAACUGUAAUAGAGAGUGGGAUCUACCAUACCAGGCAGGACCUAAGAUGUAGCCUGUGCAAAUAUGCCCCUGAAACAAUCCAGCACAUAACAACGGGGUGCAAGAUGCUAGGGACAGGGCAUACAUGGAAUGCUAUAAUCAAGUGGCCUGUUGAACAAAUUCUAUUUCUAAAUAAAAAACAAAUUAAAUAA